GACAGAGGGUGCGAACGUUGCUCGGAAUUAUUGGGCGUAAAGCGCGUGUAGGCGGCUUUGCAAGUCGGGUGUGAAAGCCCUCAGCUCAACUGAGGAAGUGCGCCCGAAACUGCAGAGCUUGAGUACCGGAGAGGAUGGCGGAAUUCCCCAAGUAGAGGUGAAAUUCGUAGAUAUGGGGAGGAACACCGGUGGCGAAGGCGGCCAUCUGGACGGAUACUGACGCUGAGACGCGAAAGCGUGGGGAGCAAACAGG
rnacentral:rRNA from 1 species